GUAAAUAGUAAUUUUGAAUUGAUUCAAAAUAUUUAGAACAAGUGCUGACACUUCAAGUAUCAAUCAAAUAAAGUUGACAUCGAGUCCGUACUCAUAAAUUCUAUUAGCGUACAAAAUUUUAAAGAUUCUUAUCCUACUCCUCUCAAAAAUUAGAAUUGAAAGACAGCCAACCAGCAAGACAAAGCCUUCAAUCAAAGGGGUGGAUUUGGAAGAUUAAUUAGGAGGACAAAUCAGAAAAUCCUUAAAAUUCAGUCUCUCCACUCUCUCUCGAGAGGAAACUUUCUCUUGUUUUGUGUUUGGUUCUAAAACUUUGGGUCUCCUCUUCUGCCGAUGUUCGCGACUAUCCCCUGCUUUCUUCGGGCAAGGGGCGACUCCCUCGUCCAUGCUCGAUGGUGGGUUUUCUUCCUCGCCGCCUUCUGGGUGGUGGUGUAAAUACUUGGUUUUUGGCUUGAUUUUGGGUUACACUUAGUGCUUUUAUCAGAGAGGAAGAUCAUUGGGAAACUUGCUCUUUAAUCAACCUUGUGGUUCUUGCUGCAUGUGGGUACCGGUGGGGUUUCGAUGGUUGUGCUUUUUGUUGCUCUACUUUAUGGGCUCUAAUGUUUGGGUAUAGUAUCUCUGGAGACUUUUCUUCUGCUUGUUGUAAGCAACUGAUCCCUUAAAAACUAAAGGAGAUUGGGAUGUCAAGAGCUCUUCCAUGCCACCUCUUGGAGCUGUGGAGUUUGGUUCCUAAGUUGUUUGUGACGAAGCAACUAAGACACUCUACUUGUCGGGGCUUUCUAUUUUAUUAUGGCCUCUCUGAGCUUUGGUCGGUCUAAAACCUAUCGUACAGAGGUCAUCUUCCCUGAUUUGAUAUGGUGUAUAUAGACAGCGGCUAGGGUUUUUCCUCAAUUUGUGCCAGGUGUGGUGAAGCGAGUCGUCCUUUUGGGCCAGAUCCUAAUAGCUGGUUUAAUUGUGCAAGGCCUUAAGUCCUUCCUAUAAGGCUUGGAGACUAUAAAUUUUUCAAGAAACCUUAAUCUCUAUUUGGAUCUGAGCAAUAGAUUCCUUCGUCUCUUUUAUAUUGGCCCUCUCUGUACUUUAUUAUUUUUUUUCAAAGCCCUUUCUGUACUUUAAUUAUGGUUUUUAAUGAUAAUCUAUCCCUCCUUUUUCGAUAAA
rnacentral:misc_RNA from 1 species